GCGGGCGUGGCGGAACUGGUAGACGCGCCGGAUUUAGGUUCCGGUAUCGAAAGAUGUGGGGGUUCGAGUCCCUUCGCCCGCACCA
rnacentral:tRNA from 1 species